GCGAUCGUAGUCUAGCCUGGUAGGACUUUGGCCUUCCAUUGAAAAAGGAAGGUUCAAAAGACAGCCAAAAACUCGGGUUCAAAUCCCGACGGUCGCA
rnacentral:tRNA from 1 species